UGAUUUCACUUGGACCAAUUAUCAAUUUCAGUUAUUCUGAUUAAUAAUCCAAAUUUAAUUAUUAAUGCAAGGAUAAAUAAUCCUAAAUUAUUUAAUAAUCUCUCUCGAGUCUUAUUAAAUAUACUAAUUAAAACCUAUAAUCUAUCUUCCAAUAGUAAAAUAGAUUUCAAUUAGUUCAAUAAGCACAGUGAUUAUUUUCAAGAUUCCACAGGUCAAAUCUUCUGCUCCCGCUCCAAUUAUUAUUCCUAUGAUGUUUGUUAUUAACUCCAAUUUAUAAUCUUCCUUCCC
rnacentral:lncRNA from 1 species